GAACAGUGAAUCACUGAAAAAAAAAAACAAGUUUAGCAUGGAAAAUUGCGUUAAAUCUUGUUUAGAUAUGCUUAAUCAAUAGUUUCAUAUGUAAUAAAUCAAAUUCGUUAUAGUUAUGGUCAAUAGCUAGAUACUAACGUUGAUUUUACCUGGUUCAGUCUACAGAACAAUAUCACUUGAAACAGUUUAGAUAUGCAUUUCAUACUAAAAGCGUUUCUGUUUUUUGUCUUAGUUCAAGGAUUAAUGACAUCGGAGGUUACUGACGAAAAUGGCAUUCCGAAUUGCUGUAAAAGGAAAUUCCCUUGCAAAAAAUCCAUUUGUGAAUUAUGGAAAUUGAGUGAUUCCUAUGAGAUAUUUCCUUGACUCCAAAACAAACUACCGAAUGGGAACUUUAUAGAAGGAAGCAUCUUCGUUCAUUUGCUUAUUUUUAAACAGUGCGUCCGGAUGAGUUCAUUCAGUUACUUAUGAAUAACUUGAAUAACUAAAAUGAUUCAGCAUUCAUUGGAAACUUGUUAAUUUAAAUAUAAAAUGUUUGUAUAAACAUGGUCUUGGCCAAAAAAUA